GGCUGUUGAAUUCUUUAUUAUUUUCCACUCACUUCUCAAAUGUUAACAACAAAAUAGAAUUCCAGGGAGCCCAGAGGAUUCAGAAACAGUCAUUCAUCUUCCAGCGGGGCUUUUACAGGAUACAAAACGGGCUGGCUUUUCCAUGGAGGGUUUUGUUGGUUUAAGCUCUCACAAAGUGGAAAAGCAAAUGAAAGGGGUGAGAGGCAAAGGCGAGGAGUUACCACAAUGAAUCCCUCAAAGCCAGAUCCUCCAACGUUACUUCAGCACGGAGGAAUGUGGCUUUACCAAGAUCAUUCAUGAGUAUGACAACAGGCACAUGCUUAACCAGCCCGUGAAGUGAGACUCUGGACAUAACACACUGUAUUAUUCCAUCUCUAACAGUUUGACCACAGGAAUCAUCUGGAAAGGACCAAGAGUUUUGCCAAUCUUCAGGAUACAGCUUGGGAAAAGUGCUGCUUUGCAUCUCAACUCCAUUUAAUCCAUCAGCAACUAAACCAGGGGUGGACAUUACAUCAUGGUCAUAGUAAAGUAAUGGAAGAAUUCAGACAGUGACUUACAGAGGGAAGUGCUGGGAGCCAACAAUUGCUCUUUUAACACCUGAGCGCCGAUGGGUGACGUGCCAGGAGAGAGGAGAGCUCUCUGGGAUGAGGCUUGUCUCUAAUCCAGGCAUUUCCCACCCUGAUGGGUCAGGGAAGGGACACAGAGCAAGGCCACGACCGCUGUGUCCAGCACUCACGUGUGAAUGGAGCGGAGGAGAUGAGGGAGGUCUCCACCAGGGUGAACACCAAAGUCCAACCAGGCUUUGCCAGCUCUUCACACCAUCUCCCUUCACCCCACCUGCACCUCUCGAAGGCCAAGAAUUCAUGACAGCUCUUGUCACAGGACGUCGACAUCACAGCUCCCAAAAUCAGGCCAACAACAGAACUCUGCCUCAGCAAAACAGCGUUAAACGCUGCUUUCAUCAUACAGCAUCGAGGGGGUAUGGACACAAGGCAAAAGAAAAAGGGAUUUCAGACAUCCACUGGCAAAACAUUGAGGAAAACUGCUCCAAAACGUGUCUGCUUGCUCUUAGAGUGAUUGCUUUCAGCAACCUGGCAAACUGUCUGUGGAUAAUUUAACCCUGAAGCAAAGCUCUCCGUGCAACUAUGGCGUUUACAUGGAUCUCUGGAAGGCAGGCAGCGAACUGGUCAAGGGUGACAGGGAAAACAAGGUCUUUCCUCCAAUACUGGGGAGUACUGGAGCAAUGCAGCAGCAGCUCCACCUCUGCAGCAGCAGGACUGGCUCCAAACUCUUCCAGGGUUUUAUUUCAUGAGCAUCUUCCAUUUCUUUCAUCCAAAAGGUGCUGAUCUCUGCUCAGUUGUGUGUAGCGGCAACAAGGAGGGAAGCAGAAGCACAUUCCAGGCCUGUUGAGCAUGUUGUUACUGCUGCUCUUGGGUCUUCCCCCUAAACAGAGGCCCAGAGGCUCCUGCCUGUUCUCUCUCUGCAGCAGAUGGAGUUAUCCAGGAGGUUUUUUCUCAGCAAGAACUUGAAAUGAGCAUUAAGAAAGCUGCAAGACUGACAUGGAGCUCAGGGUCCCCCCUCACCUUUUUGGUUUACGGUCCCAUCCAGCCUCGCUCAUGAAACAGCAUCUGGGCUCUUCCUGCAGCUUAACCCAUAAGGUUGGCACUGGUGA
ensembl:lncRNA